rnacentral:rRNA from 1 species
AUUGAACGCUAGCGGGAGGCUUUACACAUGCAAGUCGAACGAGUGGCGGACGGGUGAGUAAUAUAUCGGAACCUGCCCAGUAGCGGGGGAUAACUACUGGAAAGAGUGGCUAAUACCGCAUACUAUUGGAGCGGCCGAUAUGGGAUUAGCUAGUUGGUGGGGUAACGGCGCACCAAGGCAACGAUCCGUAGCUGGUUUGAUAGGAUGACCAGCCACACUGGGACUGGGACACGGCCCAGACUCCUACGGGAUGCAGCAGUUGGGAAUAUUGCACAAUGGGCGCAAGCCGGAUGCAGCCAUGCCGCGUGUAUGAAGAAGGCCCUAGGGUUGUAAAGUACUUUCAGUCGGGAGGCGUUACCGACAGAAGAAGCACCGGCUAACUACGUGCCAGCAGCCGCGGUAAUUC